rnacentral:rRNA from 1 species
UACGAAGGGGGCUAGCGUUGUUCGGAAUUACUGGGCGUAAAGCGCGCGCAGGCGGCUAUCCAAGUCAGUGGUGAAAGCCCGGAGCUCAACUCCGGAACUGCCAUUGAAACUGUUUAGCUUGAGGAUGAGAGAGGUGAGUGGAAUUCCCAGUGUAGAGGUGAAAUUCGUAGAUAUUGGGAAGAACACCGGCGGCGAAGGCGGCUCACUGGCUCAUUACUGACGCUCAGGCGCGAUAGCGUGGGGAUCAAACAGG